rnacentral:rRNA from 1 species
AUUGAACGCUGGCGGCAUGCCUAACACAUGCAAGUCGAACGGCAGCAUGGUUUGUGGUAACACAAGCUGAUGGCGAGUGGCGGACGGGUGAGUAACACGUAGGAAUCUGCCCUGAAGAGCGGGACAACCCGAGGAAACUCGGGCUAAUACCGCAUAAUACUCUGAGGAGGAAAGGCUAGGUUGAAAGAUCUGGCGCUUUAGGAGGAGCCUGCGUCCGAUUAGCUAGUUGGUUAGGUAAAAGCUGACCAAGGCGAAGAUCGGUAGCUGGUCUGAGAGGGUGACCAGCCACACUGGGACUGAGACACGGCCCAGACUCCUACGGGAGGCAGCAGUGGGGAAUAUUGGACAAUGGGGGCAACCCUGAUCCAGCAAUGCCGCGGGUGUGAAGAAGGCCUUCGGGUUGUAAAGCACUUUAGUUGGGGAAGAAGGUAUGCUGUUUAAGAGAUGGCAUGUUUGACGGUACCCAAAGAAUAAGCACCGGCUAACUCUGUGCCAGCCGCCGCAGUAACAC